AUUUGGGAAUGAACAGUCUCAUUAAAUUAGUGGCACGGGCCAUUAUCCAAUGACCAUUAAUCACAGUUGUAUUAAUUAAUGCACUGAACUAAUCUAUGCAAUGAAUGCAAAAUAUAAUUCUCAAGCAUCAGAUACCAAAAGCCGUGACAGCUAUUUCUCUAUCUCAAUUACAGCUGACCAAAACGACGUAGUUUUAAUUGGGCGGGAAAAAUAUUUGACAAAAACUUCUUGCUUUAUUAUAGAGUUAGAGUUAGAUUUAUACCUCAAAAAUCUGAGUCAUAACCAGUUCCAACAACGCCGCCAUGGCCAAGAAGAAAGGUGCUAAGACAUUGGCGGAGCUGAAAACCCUAGGAAACAAGCUUUUGUCUUCUAGAGCACACAUCAAUAACCUCCCUGUCCUCCUCACCUUCGUCAAUCCCUCUUCUGCUCCCCAAUAUGCCCUCGAAGCGCUACUUUCCCUCCAAGCAUUCUUCACUCCUCUCAUCCCCAACCUCCCUUCGACCACUGCAGCUGCUGACCCCCAAGAUGAUCCCGAAAUUAUCUAUAGUAUUUGGCUCCGCUCCAAGUUCGAAGACCUCGUUCAAUCCCUCAUUGAAAUCGCCACCUCUUCCCAGUGCGAACAAGCCCUAAGGGAAGUUGUAUUAGAUGCACUAAUGGAGUUUGUUAAGGUUGGAAACGCUGGAAAGUUUCACUCUUCAAUAUACCACCGUUUUCUUCAUAAUAUUGUUCACUCCUCCUCAUUGGGAGUGGAUGAUAUUUUGCUUCAUUUGCUUGCAGAAAAGUAUUUCAAUUACAUUGAUAUCCGUUAUUUUACUUACAUCAGCAUGGAAAAGCUCUCACAAACAUUAGAAGCAAAAUACGUCACUGAUUAUGAUAACAAGAUUUCAUCUGGCAAUUCUGAGAAUCCUCCAAGGGAAAGUGUGGAGCUUUCAGUUCAGAAGAUAUAUUAUAUGCUAUCACAUAUCCCACCACCAGAUGGUCUUGAUCAAAUGUCAAAAUAUGAGAUGUGGAAUGGUCUAGGUAUUUUUGUUGGGAAAAACAAUAACAGGGAAAAUGCUUUGGAUUCAAAAGCAGAAAGCAAGAUGGGCAAAGUUGAAAGUUCUAGUGAUAAAGUUUUGCCUUCUCUGAAAGUUGCUAAAAAGAUGAAGCUGAAGUUUACAAAAGCAUGGAUAUCAUUUCUAAAAAUACCACUCCCACUUGAUGUGUACAAAGAGGUUCUGGUUAGCCUUCAUCAGGCAGUCAUCCCUUGUCAAAGCCCAUCAUGUUGUGUGAUUUCUUGACACGAUCGUAUGAUAUUGGUGGGGUUGUCAGUGUUAUGGCUCUUAGUAGCUUGUUUAUCCUCAUGACUCAACAUGGUAUAGAGUAUCCAAACUUCUAUGAAAAGCUAUAUGCUCUUCUAGAGCCUUCUAUUUUUAUGGCAAAACAUCGGGCAAAAUUCUUUGAGCUUCUUGAUUCUUGCCUGAAAUCACCACUUCUUCCUGCAUAUUUGGCUGCUGCUUUCUGCAAAAAAUUGAGCAGGCUUUCACUUUCAGUUCCUCCCUCAGGAUCUCUUGUUAUUACUGCUUUAAUCCACAACCUUUUAAGGAGACAUCCAUCAAUAAACUGCUUAGUACAUCAGGACGAUACUGGUGAGACAACUAAAGAAAAUUCAGAAGCAGAGAGAGAGACUGAUGUUACUGCUGAUGCUAGCAGAGAAAUCUCUGUUAAUGGAUUGGGCAUUGAUCCUUUUGAUGAGGAAGAGAGGGAUCCUUUGAGGGCUAAUGCCAUGAGUAGCUCUCUUUGGGAGAUUGAUACUCUUCGUCAUCACUACUGUCCUCCUGUUUCAAGAUUUGUUUUAUCGCUUGAAAAUGAUUUAACCGUCAGAGCAAAAACCACUGAAAUAGCAGUAAAAGAUUUCAGUUCUGGUUCUUAUGCAACAAUUUUUGGUGAUGAGAUUAGGAGAAGGGUUAAACAAGUCCCCCUGGCAUUCUACAAAGUACCACCAACCUCUUUGUUCUCAGAGUCCGAUUUUCCUGGCUGGACUUUCGAUAUCGAAAACAAAGAGUUAGCUGGUGUUAAUCAAGAGAGCGAUGAUGUUAUUUCUGCGAAACGGCAGCGAGUUGAGUGCUCUUAAUGUGAUUGUUCUAUUUGUAGAAGUAAAAUUUUGAUAUUCAAAAUUAUACCUAAGUACCUAGUUUUGUUUUCCUUCAGUUUUGGUAGUCAUUUGUGUUGAGCUCAAUUACAUUAGCUACUUAGCUAGCGUUAAAACUCAUCUGAGAGACUGGAGAUUGACCC